GAUUAACGCUAGCGGCAGGCCUAAUACAUGCAAGUCGAGGGGUAACAGGGGUAGCAAUAUCUGCUGACGACCGGCGCACGGGUGCGUAACACGUAUACAACCUUCCUUUAACUGGAGGAUAGCCCCGAGAAAUCGGGAUUAACACUCCAUAAUAUGAUUGUGUGGCAUCACAUGAUCAUUAAAACUCCGGUGGUUAAAGCUGGGUAUGCGUAACAUUAGCUAGUUGGUGAGGUAAUGGCUCACCAAGGCAACGAUGUUUAGGGGACCUGAGAGGGUUAACCCCCACACUGGUACUGAGACACGGACCAGACUCCUACGGGAGGCAGCAGUAAGGAAUAUUGGACAAUGGUCGCAAGACUGAUCCAGCCAUGCCGCGUGAAGGAUGACGGCGCUAUGCGUUGUAAACUUCUUUUAUACGGGAAAAAACCCUUGGAUGCGUCCGAGGCUGAUUGUACCGUAAGAAUAAGGAUCGGCUAACUUCGUGCCAGCAGCCGCGGUAAUACGAAGGAUCCAAGCGUUAUCCGGAUUUAUUGGGUUUAAAGGGUGCGUAGGCGGUUUUGUAAGUCAGUGGUGAAAUCUUCGGGCUUAACCCGGAAAUUGCCAUUGAUACUGCAGAACUUGAGUACAUUUGAAGUGGGCGGAAUAUGACAUGUAGUGGUGAAAUACUUAGAUAUGUCAUAGAACACCGAUUGCGAAGGCAGCUCACUAAACUGUAACUGACGCUGAUGCACGAAAGCGUGGGGAUCAAACAGGAUUAGAUACCCUGGUAGUCCACGCCGUAAACGUUGAUAACUAGAUGUUGGCGAUACACUGUCAGCGUCUAAGCGAAAGCGAUAAGUUAUCCACCUGGGGAGUACGACCGCAAGGUUG
rnacentral:rRNA from 1 species